GGUGUGCUCGCGCGGGAGGCAGAGACGUCUGGGAAGGAGAAGGGUAAGCAGGAGAAUUCGAGAGUUUCGCUGAAAACGUGAAGUAAAACUGUCAGAUUGAGAUUUAUGAGUUUAGAGUAUACCUAUAUCGUCAUGUGACACGAGAACCGCAGUUAGAGCUGAAGUUCGGUCGGUUAUAUCUUCGGACGGAGAACAGUGUUGGAAGCUUGGCUGAGUGCACAAGGAAGAUUGCUGCCUGGAGUCACGGCUGCGUUGACCUUCGACCUCAGAAAACACAGUGGACCGACACCAGCAGAUGACAUGGCCAGACCAUCACUGACUGUGGAGACUACACUGGAGCGUGGAUUCUGUGCCGCUCCUCUUCCUCCAGACUCGGACCUUGAUUUGCAAAGAUGUUCAGAUCAGACGAGUGUGAAUCUUCAGAGUGUGUGCGGCUCAAACUCACCAGCUCUUCUUGCACAGAUGAUCUGAAGAAGAAUC